AUCCUUUCCGGUCGGGCAUGAGACCUUGAGCAGAAAGGGGGUGAAGUUCAUCCAUUGCACUCCAGCUGUGCUGCCCCCUGCCAUUUCCCCUAAUGUGGGGAACUUGACUGCAGAAUUUGUGGCAGCUUAAAAUUAGGUCUUAAAUUAUGG
rnacentral:snRNA from 1 species